CCGCAGUAUGCGUUAAAAUACAUCAGGACACCAUUUUUCAUCUUAAACUCAGCAUAUGAUGUGUACCAAUUCCAUCACACAUUGGUGCCACCUUCUGCUGAUUUGAGUGGGCAUUGGAAUCAUUGUAGGCUUAAUCCAGUGGCAUGUAAUACAAACCAGACAAAUAUCUUGCAAGGGUUCUGGAAAGAUAUGCUUGUAGCUUUGAGUUUAUUUUUUAAAUACUCAAAAAGAGGAGGGAUGUUCAUAAACUCAUGUUUUGCGCAUUGCCAAAACCAUUGCAGAAGCAGUAGGCGAUUGGUACUUUGGAAGAAGGGUGACCAAGGAAAUUGACUGUGCAUAUCCUUGUGAUUCUACCUGCCAUAACUUGAUAGGCUGAAACCGUAAGGUUCAGUUCAGGUAUUACCUUUUGAUAAAUGAUUCAAGCUUGCUAAUGAUUCUCAAAAAUACAUUUGGAGUGCAUGGACCUUGAUUUUAUUCAUCUAAUGCACAAUUUUUUGAGUAUAUUUAAGGUCCGAUCAAGGAUUUAAUUAUUAGGUGAAAAAUAUGAGCAGUUCUUUUUGCGAGAAUUGCUCUCUUCUCUUUCUUACAAAAAGGAUACAGAGUAUUUACAGAUAGUUGAUGAGAAUCAUGUUAGUAUAUAAUGGUGUAUACCAUUUGUACAUUUAAUCAAACAUAGUUCUCCUUGUGAGAAUUAC